rnacentral:rRNA from 1 species
GAAUGGGCGAAGCUGAUCUUCAUACCGGUGUGUGAAGAAGGCCUGAGGGUUGUAAAGCACUUUCAAUAGGAAGGAAUACCUAUCGGCUAAUACCCGGUAGACUGACAUUACCUAUACAAGAAGCACCGGCUAACUCCGUGCCAGCAGCCGCGGUAAUACGGAGGGUGCAAGCGUUAAUCGGAAUUACUGGGCGUAAAGCGUGCGUAGGCGGUUAUUUAAGUCAGAUGUGAAAGCCCUGGGCUUAACCUGGGAACUGCAUUUGAUACUGGGUAACUAGAGUUUAGUAGAGGGGAGUGGAAUUUCAGGUGUAGCGGUGAAAUGCGUAGAGAUCUGAAGGAACACCAGUGGCGAAGGCGGCUCCCUGGACUAAAACUGACGCUGAGGUACGAAAGCGUGGGUAGCAAACAGGAUUAGAUACCCUGGUAGUCCACGCCGUAAACGAUGUCAACUAACUGUUGGGUUCUUUAAGAACUUAGUAGUGGAGCUAACGUAUUAAGUUGACCGCCUGGGGAGUACGGCCGCAAGGCUAAAACUCAAAUGAAUUGACGGGGGCCCGCACAAGCGGUGGAGCAUGUGGUUUAAUUCGAUGCAACGCGAAGAACCUUACCUACCCUUGACAUCCUCGGAACUUGUCAGAGAUGACUUGGUGCCUUCGGGAACCGAGAGACAGGUGCUGCAUGGCUGUCGUCAGCUCGUGUCGUGAGA